UCAUUAGCACAGCAGUCACCACCCAGGUGUCUGUAAUUCCCCCCAGCAACUGGCUAAUUAACCUAACAAGUUUGUAGUCCUCACAGUAGUGCAGCCACUUCAGUGACCAGGAUACUACAGAUAGUGCCCUGCCACAUGGAUUUUAGAACUAUUACAGUUUGAUCCAUGUCUGGCUGACCACCUUUCUAAAUCUGGACAGAAGGGGAAAGGCAAAUAUCUGGACUCCCAAAUUUGGGCUGCCAUUCCAUCUUGACUCACUCCCCUUCCACCUGGAUAUCAUCUCCAUGAAGAGUGGUCCCCCAAAGUCUGACAAGAACUGAUGUCAUUGGCGAUGAUGGAAGGAGGGAUGGUGGUGAAACAGGAUCUUCUGAGCUGCAAAGCAGCAUUUAAUGUUGGUGAUUAGCUCAUUCACCUACUUGAACAUCUUCAUGCAGAAAACCCUGUGGAAGAGCUUCAGAUGCAUCAUUACAGGGACAGUAUGAUGAUGUAGGUGCCAUCUGAUCAGGAGCCUUACCGGCUGUACCACUGCACUGUCAGGGCUGAUGAGGAAACUGCUGCUAAUACCCCACCACUAGAAGCUACACCCGCUGACACAGUAAGGUCAGAUGACUAACAAGAAACUGCUGAUUGGACAUUACUAGGUAUAAAGCUUCCUGUUCCUAUGUCCUCCUGUUCCUGUCUCAACCCUUGUCUGAGAAGCUAGUUGCUAGGCCUGUUGCUGCCCAGACCUGAGACCUGAGACCAAGUCCCUGGUUCCUGUUCCCCUGCCUCAUCCCUGUUCCUAUAUCUUGUUCCUGGUUCCUUGCCCUGACCCAGGUUGCUGUCUCUGGUUUUGACUCUUGGCAUGACCACAACCCCAGCUCUGCUCCUGGCUCCAA